GCGGGCGUAGCUCAGGGGUAGAUACAACCUUGCCAAGGUUGGGGUCGUGAGUUCCGAAUCUCAUCGCCCGCU
rnacentral:tRNA from 1 species